UACGAAGGGGGCUAGCGUUGCUCGGAAUCACUGGGCGUAAAGCGCACGUAGGCGGCUUUUUAAGUCAGGGGUGAAAUCCUGGAGCUCAACUCCAGAACUGCCUUUGAUACUGAGAGCUUGAGUCCGGGAGAGGUGAGUGGAACUGCGAGUGUAGAGGUGAAAUUCGUAGAUAUUCGCAAGAACACCAGUGGCGAAGGCGGCUCACUGGCCCGGUACUGACGCUGAGGAGCGAAAGCGUGGGGAGCGAACAGG
rnacentral:rRNA from 1 species